UGGGGAAAUUUUGAAG
rnacentral:rRNA from 1 species